rnacentral:rRNA from 1 species
UAGGGAAUCUUCCACAAUGGGCGAAAGCCUGAUGGAGCAACGCCGUGUGUGUGAUGAAGGGUUUCGGCUCGUAAAACACUGUUGUAAGAGAAGAAUGACAUUGAGAGUAACUGUUCAAUGUGUGACGGUAUCUUACCAGAAAGGAACGGCUAAAUACGUGCCAG